rnacentral:tRNA from 1 species
UGGCACAGUGGUUAAAGUGCUGGGCUUCUAACCCAAAGGUUGGUGGUUCGAACCCACC